AGCGAACGCUGGCGGCAGGCCUAACACAUGCAAGUCGAACGAAGCCUUCGGGCUUAGUGGCGGACGGGUGAGUAACACGUGGGAACGUACCUUUUGGUUCGGAAUAACGCAGAGAAAUUUGCGCUAAUACCGAAUGAGCCCUUAGGGGGAAAGAUUUAUCGCCGAAAGAUCGGCCCGCGUUGGAUUAGGUAGUUGGUGUGGUAAAGGCGCACCAAGCCUACGAUCCAUAGCGGGUCUGCGAGGAUGAUCAGCCACACUGGGACUGAGACACGGCCCAGACUCCUACGGGAGGCAGCAGUGGGGAAUCUUGCGCAAUGGGCGAAAGCCUGACGCAGCCAUGCCGCGUGAAUGAUGAAGGUCUUAGGAUUGUAAAAUUCUUUUACCAGGGACGAUAAUGACGGUACCUGGAGAAAAAGCCCCGGCUAACUUCGUGCCAGCCGCCGCCGUAAGAC
rnacentral:rRNA from 1 species